rnacentral:lncRNA from 1 species
AUAAGCUUUUGUGUGAUAUAAAUGUUCAUUUUUAUGAAAUGAGUAGUACAGAGAUGUAUGGAGAUCAGACAUUUUAUUGUAUUUAAGAAAGUUCAUAGGUGUCAAAAUUGCAUUGUACGAGUGCCUUGUAUAACCAGUGUUACCAGGGAUGAAAUAUGCGUGUACCUUCAAAUAGGCAUGAUAAUUAUGAAUUUCUAUAUUCAAUACACUCCUCUAACUGAGGUACUUUUGGUAAUGAAGAAUUUGAGUACUGUGGACCAUAUCGUUCUUUAAACUUCUUU